rnacentral:lncRNA from 10 species
GGGAAUUUGGACACAAACGGACAUACAAGAAUGCCAUGUGACCCUGAAGGCAGAUAUCAGAUGAUGUUUCUACAAGCCAACAAAAUGCCAAAGAUUACCAGCAAACGACCAGAAGCUACGAUCAAGGAAUGGAACAGAUUCUCUCUCAGAGUCCUCAGAAGGAAGAACCCUGCUGAUACCUUGAUCUCAGACUUCCAGCCUCCAAAACUGGGAGAUGAUGCAUUUCUUUCGCUCCAUGAAGAAAGACAGAGGAAUUGAUGUGUGUUCAAGACUUGAGAGCCAUGGAGAGGAGCUGGUAUCACCACUGCCUGCAGCUCAGGCCCAUCACUGCAUCCUUCACUCCACCAUUCCUCACCUGGAUUCACCUCACCCCUGACGUUAGAACCUGAACACGCCUCCGAAACUGGUGAGACAGAGGAGAGAAACUAAGCAUACAGUACCUGUCCUGUCUUGUCAAAGGGAAGCCUGACCUUCG